rnacentral:lncRNA from 1 species
CUCUCAUUCGCCUGAAUCCGUUCUCUCUCUCCACACACACACUCACGCGCUCUCGUUCGCUUGAUUCCGUUCUCUCUCUCCACACACACUCACGCGCUCUCGUUCACUUGAUUCCGUUCUCUCUCCACACACACGCGCUCUCGUUCGCCUGAUUCCGUUCUCUCUCUCCACACACCCUCACGCGCUCUCAUUCGCUUGACUCUGUUCUCUCUCCACACACACACUCACGCGCUCUCAUUCGCUUGAUUCCGUUCUCUCUCUCCACACACACACUGACGCGCUCUCAUUCGCUUGAUUCCGUUCUCUCUCUCCACAUACACACUCACGCGCUCUCAUUCGCUUGACUCUGUUCUCUCUCUCCACACACACACUCACGCGCUCUCAUUCGCCUGAUUCCGUUCUCUCUCCACACACACACUCACGCGCUCUCAUUCGCUUGAUUCCGUUCUCUCUCUCCACACACACUCGCGCUCUCAUUCGCUUGAUUCCGUUC